GUGUCAGCAGCCGCGGUAAAACGUAGGACGCAAGCGUUAUCCGGAGUUACUGGGCGUAAAGCGCGGGCAGGCGGCCCGUUCAGUCUGAGGUGAAAGCGCCCGGCUCAACCGGGCGAGGCCCUUGGAAACUGGCGGGCUGGAGGGCAGUAGAGGCAGGCGGAAUUCCGGGUGGAGUGGUGAAAUGCGUAGAGAUCCGGAGGAACACCAGAGGCGAAGGCGGCCUGCUGGGCUGCACCUGACGCUGAGCCGCGAAAGCCAGGGGAGCGAACGGGAUUAGAUACCCUUGUAGUCC
rnacentral:rRNA from 1 species